GUUGGCUUAACCUUGACCUCCGAUAGUUUUCUUAUGCACUGUAAUGGUGUGCAUCAGAUGUUGCACCAUGUGACUUUCCUUUGACAUAUAAAAAUGUGAUACUGACUCUUCUUCCUUUCCCGAUUACAAUAAUGUCAUUUGAAGUCAGAGCAGAUUAAAUGGUGGAAGUUGAAAAGGAAGAAUUUUGCACUGAAGAAGUCGGGACAGACUCUGAGUGAAAGAGAAAAGUUAGCAGGUAAUAGAGAAAGUGCAGCCGAAUAGCUGAGAGAAACUGCUAUGAAGGUGUUUGGUGUAUCCACUGGAUGGAGAAAACAGGACAAGGAGACCCAGUGGUGAAAUGAAGAAGUGAAGGAAAGUUUUCAAAUGAUGAGAGAGAGAUGGAUGUGCACGAGACCAUUGCUGAUUUUCACCGCUGAGGUUAUUGCUGGAAAACAACUAUAAACUUGAUAAAUUGAGCAAAUAUCCAUACCAGAGACCUGCAAGGACCUUGGAGAAACGGACCUGAUUUAUUGUGAACAUUUUGGACUUUGGAACCAUCGCGCUCUGCACGGGUGCGGAUGAAGUGGACAAGAUCCUCUCUAAGAGUUGAACAUUAGAAGCUUGCUGGUGAGUUAAACUGGGACUGAGCGAAUCAGGCUAAUUGAAAAGCUAAUUAGCCUAAUGCUCAUAGCUGUAGCUGUAGCCGACCACGUUUUCACUGUAGGAGAACACAUGGGGUUUCUCACGGAGUUCAGCUUCUCUGAGCACUCAGCUUGUGCGCUGAUGAUGUUUUAGUAUUACCUGUUGAAUAUUAAAUGCACUAAAAUAAGAUGAUGGCAUGAAGU